rnacentral:rRNA from 1 species
GAAGCUUGCUUCUCUUGAGAGCGGCGGACGGGUGAGUAAUGCCUAUGAAUCUGCCUGGUAGUGGGGGAUAACGUUCGGAAACGGACGCUAAUACCGCAUACGUCCUACGGGAGAAAGCAAGGGACCUUCGGGCCUUGCGCUAUCAGAUGAGCCUAGGUCGGAUUAGCUAGUUGGUGGGGUAAUGGCUCACCAAGGCGACCAUCCGUAACUGGUCUGAGAGGAUGAUCAGACACACUGGAACUGAGACACGGUCCAGACUCCUACGGGAGGCAACAGUGGGGAAUAUUGGAGAAUGGGCGAAGACCUGAUCCAUCCAUGCCGCGUGUGUGAUGAAGGUCUUCGAAUUGUACAGCACUUUAAGUUGGGACGAAGGGUUGUACAGUAAUACUCUGCGCUUUUGACGUUACCGACACUAAUCAAGUCACUCGGCAUAAUCUCUGGUUGCGCAGACAGCCCGCGGUAAUACAUAGGGUGCAAGCGUUAAUCGGAAUUACUGGUGCGUAAAGCGCGCGUAGGUGGUUUGUUAACUUGUAUGUCAAAUCCACGUGCUCAACCUGCCAACUGCAUUCAAAACUGACUGACUAAAUUAUGGUAAAGGC